ensembl:lncRNA
CGAGACACAGCUGCGUGGCCAGGCUCUAGACCGAGACACAGCUGCGUGGCCAGGCUCUAGACCGAGACACAGCUGCGUGGCCAGGCUCUAGGGUCUAUACGACAGAGUAGAGGCUGCCUCCAAAGUGUGCACUUACUUGUCUUGCACACUUCUUGUCAUGGAUUUAAAAGCAUUAGAUUGUAAUUAUUGGCUGAAGGGAGUUUCUUUCCACCGUUGUUAAGCCUAAAUCCAUGAUGGGAAGUGUGCAAGUGAACACUUUGAGAAAAGGGUGUAUAAUUAGGGUGCAGCUGUGUCUGAUCCCGUUGGUUCCUUAAGGAUCUCCAGUCAGGACUAUACAGCUGUGUCUGAGCCCAUUGGUUCCUUAAGGAUCCCCAGUCAGGACUAUACAGCUGUGUCUGAUCCCAUUGGUUCCUUAAGGAUCCCCAGUCAGGGCUAUACAGCUGUGUCUGAUCCUGUUGGUUCUAUACAUCUGUGUCUGAGCCCGCUGGUUCCUUAAGGAUCCCCAGUCAGGACUAUACAGCUGUCUGAUCCCAUUGGUUCCUUAAGGAUCCCCAGUCAGGACUAUACAGCUGUGUCUGAUCCCAUUGGUUCCUUAAGGAUCCCCAGUCAGGGCUAUACAGCUGUGUCUGAGCCCAUUGGUUCCUUAAGGAUCCCCAGUCAGGGCUAUACAGCUGUGUCUGAGCCCAUUGGUUCCUUAAGGAUCCCCAGUCAGGGCUAUACAGCUGUGUCUGAGCCCGUUGGUUCCUUAAGGAUCCCCAGUCAGGACUAUACAGCUGUCUGAUCCCGUUGGUUCCUUCAGGAUCCCCAGUCAGGACUAUACAGCUGUGUCUCAUCCCGUUGGUUCCUUAAGGAUCCCCAGUCAGGACUAUACAGCUGUGUCUGAUCCCGUUGGUUCCUUAAGGAUCCCCAGUCAGGACUAUACAGCUGUGUCUGAUCCCGUUGGUUCCUUCAGUAUGCCCAGUCAGGACUAUACAGCUGUCUGAUCCCGUUGGUUCCUUAAGGAUCCCCAGUCAGGGCUAUACAGCUGUGUCUGAGCCCAUUGGUUCCUUAAGGAUCCCCAGUCAGGGCUAUACAGCUGUGUCUGAGCCCGUUGGUUCCUUAAGGAUCCCCAGUCAGGACUAUACAGCUGUCUGAUCCCGUUGGUUCCUUCAGGAUCCCCAGUCAGGACUAUACAGCUGUGUCUCAUCCCGUUGGUUCCUUAAGGAUCCCCAGUCAGGACUAUACAGCUGUGUCUGAGCCCAUUGGUUCCUUAAGGAUCCCCAGUCAGGGCUAUACAGCUGUGUCAGCCCGUUGGUUCCUUCAGGAUCCCCAGUCAGGACUAUACAGCUGUGUCUGAUCCCGUUGGUUCCUUUUAAGGAUCCCCAGUCAGGACUACACAGCUGUGUGAUCCUGUUGGUUCCUUCAGGAUCCCCAGUCAGGACUAUACAGCUGUCUGAUCCCGUUGGUUCCUUCAGGAUCCCCAGUCAGGACUACACAGCUUUUUAUUUCUGCCGUCUUUUAUAUUAUUAUAUAGCAACGAUUUAAUAAUCAGAAAAACGCUGGACGAAUCUUCAUAGAAAUGUCUUUAAUAUAUGAUUUACUCCUUUUGUUUUUAGAUUUUUUAUUAAAUCAUUUGAGGUUUGUUUUGUUCACCUGUAAGCUUCAAAUUGACUGCACUGUACUCUCAUUACCCUGGCUGACUUGUGAAUCCACAAAUUGCACCCUAUUCCCUAAUGUAGUGCACUACUAUUAACCAGAGGCCUUACUAACCAGUAGUAGUGCACUAUAAAAGGAAUAGCUUAAGGGACCAUUUGGGAGCCUGCUGGUGUGCUGCAUAACUAGAUGAUGUUCUCUCUGUGGUAGUAAUGCUAACGAUGAUAGGUUAGGGAUCAGUGGUAGUAAUGCUAUAAUGCUAAUGAUAGGCUAGGGAUCAGUGGUAGUAAUGCUAUAAUGCUAAUGAUAGGCUAGGGAUCAGUGGUAGUAAUGCUAUAAUGCUAAUGAUAGGCUAGGGAUCAGUGGUAGUAAUGCUAUAAUGCUAAUGGUGAUAGGCUAGGGAUCAGUGGUAGUAAUGCUAAUUAUGAUAGGCUAGGGAACAGUGGUAGUAAUGCUAUAUUGCUAAUGAUAGGCUAGGGAUCAGUGGUAGUAAUGCUAUAAUGCCAAUGGUGAUAGGCUAGGGAUCAGUACUAGUAAUGCUAAUGAUGAUAGGCUAGGGAACAGUGGUAGUAAUGCUAAUGAUUAUAGGCUAGGGAUCAGUGGUAGUAAUGCUAAUGAUGAUAGGCUGGGGAACAGUGGUAGUAAUGCUAAUGAUGAUAGGCUAGGGAACAGUGGUAGUAAUGCUAAUGAUGAUAGGCUAGGGAACAGUGGUAGUAAUGCUAAUGGUGAUAGGCUAGGGAACAGUGGUAGUAAUGCUAAUGGUGAUAGGCUAGGGAACAGUGGUAGUAAUGCUAAUGAUAGGCAAGGGAAAAGUCGUAGUAAUGCUAUAAUGCUAAUGAUGAUAGGCUAGUGUUGCAAAAUUCCUGAAACGUUCCCUACAUUUCCAAGGUUUUUUAUUAAUCAUGUUUCAAGGAAUUUCUGAUAUCAGGAAGGAUUAACUAGGGAAGGCAUCCUCCUACUGAGAUUUAUGAGGAAUUUCAGAGUUCUGAAAAGCUUGUAGCUCAAUAACCAGUAUCUGAGCUGUGAAGCACUUUCUGUUGUGUUGCUAGAUUGACCAGGUUGUUGUCAUGGGGAUGGAUGGUGGCAGAACGUGUUGUUGCCACUACUCGUGAUGCUAGCAUGGUCUAGUCCUGAGUCCUGAGUCCCAGCUCUGUUUGUGCUGUCUUGCCAACUCUAUGUGAUUUAUAGGAGUCGCUAAGACAGCACAAACGGAUGUGGGACCAGGCUAAGCAUGGUUCACCUUGGUGUCAAGGGUCAACUAAUCAAGUCAAGUAAUGGCACAUACAUAACCACUGUCUGGAGAGACCUGCAGAGACCUACAGCUAGACUCCCUAACACAGUGUCUGUUCAGACUGAUUCAUUAGAGCUAGACUCACUAACACAGUGUCUGUUCAGACUAAUGCUUUGAGUACUGAGUAGUGACUUGUUUCAGUGCCUAAUGCCUUGAGUACUGAGUAAUGACUUGUUUCAGUGCCUAAUGCCUUGAGUACUGAGUAGUGACUUGUUUCAGUGCCUAAUGCCUUGAGUACUGAGUAUUGACUUGUUUCAGUGCCUUUAUUGUAGAAUGACUUGUUGGUUGGUCUGUAGAUAGUUUUCAGAUGCCACCUCCCCUUCUCUUGAAGCCCAGCUCACCUAUCUCUGAGUUGGUGGACAGGACAGGUUCCUACCCUUAAAAAUGUACGUGUGAUCAGGGUGGUUGGCAGGUAGCCAAGGAGCGCUACAGUUCACUCCAAGCAACUCGUAUCAAGCAGAUCACACAAUUUACCACGGCCAACAGCAGGCCUGGUCUACAGGGUAAUAGUAGUGUGGGUAGGAGCCACUGUCUGGAGUCAGAUCAGAUUAACUUCAUUAAUAACCCACUGUCUGGAGUCAGACCAGAUUAACAUCAUUAAUAACCCACUGUCUGGAGUCAGACCAGAUUAACAUCAUCAAUAACCCACUGUCUGGAGUUCAUUAAUAACCCACUGUCUGGAGUCAAACCAGAUUAACAUCAUCAAUAACCCACUGUCUGGAGUUCAUUAAUAACCCACUGUCUGGAGUCAGACCAGAUUAACUUCAUUAAUAACCCACUGUCUGGAGUCAAACCAGAUUAACUUAAUUAAUAACCCACUGUCUGGAGUUCAUUAAUAACCCACUGUCUGGAGUCAAACCAGAUUAACAUCAUUAAUAACCCACUGUCUGGAGUCAGACCAGAUUAACUUCAUUAAUAACCCACUGUUUGGAGUUCAUUAAUAACCCACUGUCUGGAGUCAAACCAGAUUAACUUCAUUAAUAACCCACUGUCUGGAGUCAGACCAGAUUAACUUCAUUAAUAACCCACUGUCUGGAGUCAAACCAGAUUAACUUAAUUAAUAACCCACUGUCUGGAGUUCAUGAAUACCCACUGUCUGGAGUCAAACCAGAUUAACAUCAUUAAUAACCCACUGUCUGGAGUCAAACCAGAUUAACAUCAUUAAUAACCCACUGUCUGGAGUCAGACCAGAUUAACAUCAUUAAUAACCCACUGUCUGGAGUCAGACCAGAUUAACUUCAUUAAUAACCCACUGUCUGGAGUCAGACCAGAUUUACUUCAUUAAUAACCCACUGUCUGGAGUUAGACCAGAUUAACAUCAUUAAUAACCCACUGUCUGGAGUUAGACCAGAUUAACAUCAUUAAUAACCCACUGUCUGGAGUCAGACCAGAUUAACAUCAUUCAUAACCCACUGUCUGGAGUCAGACCAGAUUUACUUCAUUAAUAACCCACUGUCUGGAGUUAGACCAGAUUAACAUCAUUAAUAACCCACUGUCUGGAGUCAGACCAGAUUAACAUCAUUCAUAACCCACUGUCUGGAGUCAGACCAGAUUAACAUAAUUCAUAACCCACUGUCUGGAGUCAGACCAGAUUAACAUAAUUCAUAACCCACUGUCUGGAGUUAGACCAGAUUAACAUCAUUCAUAACCCACUGUCUGGAGUUAGACGAGAUUAACAUCAUUCAUAACCCACUGUCUGGAGUUAGACGAGAUUAACAUCAUUCAUAACCCACUGUCUGGAGUUAGACGAGAUUAACAUCAUUAAUAACCCACUGUCUGGAGUCAAACCAGAUUAACAUCAUUAAUAACCCACUGUCUGGAGUUAGACCAGAUUAACAUCAUUCAUAACCCACUGUCUGGAGUUAGACGAGAUUAACAUCAUUCAUAACCCACUGUCUGGAGUCAGACCAGAUUAACUUCAUUAAUAACCCACUGUCUGGAGUUAGACGAGAUUAACAUCAUUAAUAACCCACUGUCUGGAGUCAGACCAGAUUAACAUCAUUCAUAACCCACUGUCUGGAGUCAGACCAGAUUAACAUAAUUCAUAACCCACUGUCUGGAGUCAGACCAGAUUAACAUAAUUCAUAACCCACUGUCUGGAGUUAGACCAGAUUAACAUCAUUCAUAACCCACUGUCUGGAGUCAGACCAGAUUAACAUCAUUCAUAACCCACUGUCUGGAGUCAGACCAGAUUAACAUCAUUCAUAACCCACUGUCUGGAGUUAGACCAGAUUAACAUCAUUCAUAACCCACUGUCUGGAGUCAGACCAGAUUAACAUCAUUCAUAACCCACUGUCUGGAGUUAGACCAGAUUAACAUCAUUCAUAACCCACUGUCUGGAGUCAGACCAGAUUAACAUCAUUCAUAACCCACUGUCUGGAGUCAGACCAGAUUAACAUCAUUCAUAACCCACUGUCUGGAGUCAAACCAGAUUAACAUCAUUCAUAACCCACUGUCUGGAGUUAGACGAGAUUAACAUCAUUCAUAACCCACUGUCUGGAGUCAGACCAGAUUAACAUCAUUCAUAACCCACUGUCUGGAGUCAGACCAGAUUAACAUCAUUCAUAACCCACUGUCUGGAGUCAGACCAGAUUAACUUCCGUGAUAAUGAAUGCUAAAUUAGCAUGCUAUAUUGAUAUGCUAUUAUGGACCACCAUGACUGGUAACAUGAACGACCUGAAUGUUUAUUACCCCUGUCACCACUACCUUUUCUGGGAAUGACUGCAGCCUUGUAUCGUACUGUGAUGACCUGGGAUGUGUUCAUUGGGCACCAAACAGUAGAAAACUGAUUUAAAACAGGGAGGGACUACCUGCACUAGUAGUCCAAUAACAAACACUAAAAUGUAUAUUUUCCUGUUGUAAAACAUUUUUGCUAGAAUUCAGAUGGCACCAUUUGUCACGAUUGUCGUUGGGAGAAGGAGAAGAGGACCAAAGAGCAGCUUGGUAUACUGGAACAAAAACAACAGACCGACAAACGAACAGUUCUGCAAGGUGCAACAAAAACACUAAACAGAAAAUUCAAAACAUAGAAUACCCACCCCAACUCACGCCCUGACCAAACUAAAACAGAGACAUAAAAAAGGAACUAAGGUCAGGGCGUGACACCAUUCUUCCAUAGGGUUUGAAAGAAGUGCACUUUUUUAUUUUUUAUUAGUGCUAGCUUUGGAGUAGGCUAGCUCUGGAGUAGGCUAGCUUUGGAGUAGGCUAGCUUUGGAGUAGGCUAGCUUUGGAGUAGGCUAGCUCUGGAGUAGGCUAGCUCUGGAGUAGGCUAGCUCUGGAGUAGGCUAGCUUUGGAGUAGGCUAGCUUUGGAGCAGGCUAGCUUUGCUCGGUCUAUGUAGUCCCCUUAACUAUUGCUGUUGUGUGGUUUUAAUUAUGUCAAUGAUCUUUCACUUUAUGCCUCGGCACCACUGUUAUUAUGUUUUCAUUCAUGCUGUCUGUGAUAUUUUGUUGUUGUUGUUGUUGUUUCUUAUUUGUUUUGUUUAUAAUUAAACUCUUCUCUCUGUGUCCACUAAUUACAAUGAAUAAAUAAACUUACCUCGGAGUUUAAAG